rnacentral:rRNA from 1 species
AGGAUGAAGGUGCCGUAACAGGUACUGGAGGUCCGAACCCACUAAUGUUGAAAAAUUAGGGGAUGAGCUGUGGAUAGGGGUGAAAGGCUAAACAAAUCCGGAAAUAGCUGGUUCUCCCCGAAAACUAUUUAGGUAGUGCGUCAUGUAUCACUUGCGGGGGUAAAGCACUGUUAUGGCUAGGGGGUCAUCGCGACUUACCAAACCAUGGCAAACUCUGAAUACCGCAAAGUGCGAGCAUGGCAGACAGACAGUGGGUGCUAACGUCCAUUGUCAAAAGGGAAACAACCCAGACCGCCAGCUAAGGUCCCCAAGACACAGUUAAGUGGGAAACGAAGUGGGAAGGCAUAGACAGCUAGGAGGUUGGCUUAGAAGCAGCCAUCCUUUAAAGAAAGCGUAAUAGCUCACUAGUCGAGUCGUCCUGCGCGGAAGAUGUAACGGGGCUCAAACUGUGCACCGAAGCUGCGGAUAUCGAAAGAUAUGGUAGGGGAGCGUUCUGUAGGUCUGUGAAGGUGUCUUGUAAAGGAUGCUGGAGAUAUCAGAAGUGCGAAUGCUGACAUGAGUAGCGAUAAAGGGCGUGAAAAGCGCCCUCGCCGAAAGCCCAAGGUUUCCUACGCAACGUUCAUCGGCGUAGGGUGAGUCGGCUCCUAAGGCGAGGCAGAAAUGCGUAGUCGAUGGGAAACAGGUCAAUAUUCCUGUACCGAUUCUAGAUGCGAUGUGGGGACGGAGAAGGUUAGGUCAGCCGGGUGUUGGACGUCCCGGUUUAAGCGUGUAGGCGUGCCCCUUAGGCAAAUCCGGGGGGCUAAGCUGAGGCGUGAUGACGAGGAACCACGGUUCCGAAGUGAUUGAUACCAAGCUUCCAGGAAAAGCCACUAAGCUUCAGUCUAGAGUUGACCGUACCGCAAACCGACACAGGUGGGCAGGAUGAAAAUUCUAAGGCGCUUGAGAGAACUCAGGAGAAGGAACUCGGCAAAUUAACACCGUAACUUCGGGAGAAGGUGUGCCCCGGUAGCGUGUAGAGACUUGCUCUCGAAGCGCGAUGGGGUUGCAGUGAAAUGGUGGCUGCGACUGUUUAAUAAAAACACAGCACUCUGCAAACACGAAAGUGGACGUAUAGGGUGUGACGCCUGCCCGGUGCCGGAAGGUUAAGUGAUGGGGUGCAAGCUCUUGAUCGAAGCCCCGGUAAACGGCGGCCGUAACAAUAACGGUCCUAAGGUAGCGAAAUUCCUUGUCGGGUAAGUUCCGACCUGCACGAAUGGCGUAACGAUGGCCACACUGUCUCCUCCUGGGACUCAGCGAAGUUGAAAUGUUUGUGAAGAUGCAAUCUACCCGCGGCUAGACGGAAAGACCCCAUGAACCUUUACUGUAGCUUUGCAUUGGACUUUGAACCGGU